AAGUCGUAACAAGGUUUCCGUAGGUGAACCUGCGGAAGGAUCAUUAAUGAAUUUAUUGACAGGGUUGUCGCUGGCCUCUAUAGGCAUGUGCACGCCUUGCUUCAAUUCAUCCAUUCUACACCUCUGUGCACUCUUCAUAGGUUGGCUUACUGGGGAUGACCCAUAGCCUCUCUAUGUAUUUUAUCACAAACUUUGUAUAGUCCAGAAUGUCACUAUUGCGUGUAACGCAUAUAAAUAUAACUUUCAGCAACGGAUCUCUUGGCUCUC
rnacentral:misc_RNA from 1 species